rnacentral:rRNA from 1 species
AGUGAACGCUGGUGGUAGGCCUAACACAUGCAAGUCGAACGGCAGCACAGUAAGAGCUUGCUCUUACGGGUGGCGAGUGGCGGACGGGUGAGGAAUACAUCGGAAUCUACUUUUUCGUGGGGGAUAACGUAGGGAAACUUACGCUAAUACCGCAUACGACCUACGGGUGAAAGCAGGGGAUCUUCGGACCUUGCGCGAUUGAAUGAGCCGAUGUCGGAUUAGCUAGUUGGCGGGGUAAAGGCCCACCAAGGCGACGAUCCGUAGCUGGUCUGAGAGGAUGAUCAGCCACACUGGAACUGGGACACGGCCCAGACUCCUACGGGAGGCAGCAGUGGGGAAUAUUGGACAAUGGGCGCAAGCCUGAUCCAGCCAUACCGCGUGGGUGAAGAAGGCCUUCGGGUUGUAAAGCCCUUUUGUUGGGAAAGAAAAGCAGCAGGUUAAUACCCCGCUGUUCUGACGGUACCCAAAGAAUAAGCACCGGCUAACUUCGUG